GAACUUGACAAACACAUAUGAUCAUCAUGUGUAUGAUAAGUUAUGUUCAAUCUAAUAGAAUCUAUAAGGACGGAAAAAUAAACAUUUUGUUAAUAACUUUGGUGUAAACACAGCUUAACACUUUAACAAUAAGUUUGUCACUUCAACAAUAAGAAACAGUUAUUUUGUCAAUAUUUUGAACACAGCAAUUCUAUUUAGAGAAAUAAUAGCCUGUUGUAUUAGGCUACAUACAGAAAUGUUUUUGCAAGUCACAUUAUGUUUCUUCUACAUCAGAAUAAUUAUCUAAUAUUACAAUUAAUAUUUAAUUACAACUAAUGUAGUAAUAUUUAUCUGAUAAACAGUCUUUUCUCAAAUAGUCUCUCCUGUUUAUCAUUUGAUCAGUCUUCAAAGAGAUAUCACAGUUAUUUACUGCUGAAUCACUGAUAUAUUCCUGUGGGAAAAUCACGAAAGUAGUUUGGCCCUUCUACAGAAUCAAUUCAAUUUGCUAGCAUCAAUUUAUUUCAAAACAAAUAGAGUAGAAAUGUUGUAUGAAUAUAGAAUUACUAUUAAUAUAGAAUCAGUGGUAAUUAUUUACAAGGUUGAAAUUUUCUCACUUGAAGCCACCUUCAAGAGAUAUGACGAUGUGUGAAGCGUUGUCUGAAGGCUGAUGAGGCUGGAGAACUGGAGGAUGAUGAGGAAGGGAAUGCAGACACAGGGGAAAGAGGCAAGCUGAGGCUGGAGAGGCAUUUCGAAGGAGACAAAGGCUGUAGUGCUAAAGAUGCAAGUAAGUACUGGAGCAAGGAGUUUUUAUUAUGAGUGAUUCAUUCAAUCAUUUCAUCAAUAUGAAAUUUGGAUUUUUAUGAGAAACUGUUUUUUUUUUUAAUUUUGUAGAUACAGUGGAAAAUUAUGAUUUAUAAUUAAUUUGGAAAAUACUAAUGUCAAAAAUAUAUCUAGGGUGAAGUGGGGUUUGAUUAUAAAAUGUAAAACGGGAUGAUUUAAUUAUGAUGAUGAUGAUUAUAAUAAUUGAAAGAUAAAAACAUUUGUAGCUAAGAAACAUUGAACUCUGAUAAUAAUAGUUAUCUUACAAGAAUAAGUGAAAAUCUAUGUUGUUUCUUUGAAACCUAUAAAGUGUCUUAAGACAGUCCAUGUUCUACUGUACAAAGAUGGAUGGAAAAUAUUUCAUUGAUUGAUAAUGCUUGAUUGACAGUCGUGGAGAGCAGCACACCUUCUUCACUUCAAUUAUUUUCAAAAUUAUUACCCUGCCACAUAAAAUUACAUUGCAAUUCUGCUUAUUUUCAACAAAUUUCUAUUAAAGCUCUCCUAUUUUUCAAGUCUGUAGAUCAACAAUACUUGUGUCUUGGCUCAAUGUAUCGAUGGAUCAAUAAAACAUUAUUUUUUAUACAAAAGAUGGUUCUGAAUAAAAAAUGCAGCAUUGAGAAUGUGAGAUAAAUAGAAACAGGAAGUGAUUUAAGCCGAUAAUUGACCAUGUUCCAAUAUUUAUUCUAUUAUAUUUCAAUUACUGCAAUUAUUUGGUUGUUAAUUUUAUUUUUAUAUUCAUAUUCAUAGGUGGAAGAGGAGUCUUAAAAGCAGCUGAUAAAAUAAUGUUUUAUUUUAUGAUUUUAAAAUUCUAAAGAUUUGUUUUUUUUAUAUCUUAGUAUCUAUAUAUAAGUGUAAGUCCUAUUAUCAUACAUAGCUUAGUCAGGACUUAUAAUGUGAAAUUUAUCAAAUUAGGAUUUUUUAUUCUAUCAACCCAGUUUUAUUUUUGUACUUUUCGGAUUGUGUUAAAGUAGCUACACACACAUCGAUUUUAUGCAUACGAUUCUUUGCCGUCCUUAUAAAUCCUAUUAGAUUGAACGGAACUUGAUAAACAUCAUCUUCUAAUCUAAUAGAAUUUAUAAGGAUGGCAAACCCAAAACUUUGUACGUCCAAAAAUCGAUGUGCACAAGGACUUGAAAGAAUUGGUUAUAGGGGAUGUCAUUGGCUGGUAUAGAAGACAAAAGAUUUUUGAAAAAUAUGUAUCUAAACUUCUUAAAUGAAGCAAAGAGACAAUAAAUGUAUUGAGCCUGUAUAGAGCGGUGGAUAAAUUAAUGUAAAUUACUUUCAGACCUGUACUAUUUAUUGAAGAGGAAUAAUUAGGAAAUUACAGAAAUAAUGUACCUAGUUGAAUUAGGAUCAUUGAGCAACCUGGAAGGGAAUACAAGUCAUUUUUUUAUGAAAAGGAAGAAGCAGGGAGCUAGCAGUCCUAGAGUUAUCUGAAUUUGUAAGUGAAUUCUCAAAUUAUUCAUUGUAUGUUGGUUGGAACAAACUGUUCAUUGUCGACUUUGGUCAACAGCUAAGAGAAUUGACCUUGACCAUAGUAAAAACCUCUGAACCACUCAGAAAACCACAACAAAACCCUCCCAACAACCGCCACAGCUUGAGCCAACAACUGACCAACAUAUUCAGAUUUUUGUCAACAACUUACAAUAGGUGAUCCCUUGUUGGGGGGGGGGGGUUAGUAAUAAACAAACGGUGUCAUUUCAAUUAUAAAAAAAAUCUUGUGUUGGGGGGUUGGUAUACUGUAUUUGAGGUAUUCAGGGGGGGGGUAUAAAUGUGGGGUAUUCAGAGCGGGUGGUAUUGUACUAAAUUUGAGGUAUUUAGAGGGUCUUUGGGCAUGGUGUGGGGGGUGGACAAAUUUAUUCAUUUUUCAUUUUCAAAUACUUACCUUCAAAAACAAAUACAAAUACCUUAACUGGCCCACACAUGUGGCCUCUGACUCAAGGCGGCCUCGGGCGCCUCAAGGCCGCCUUCAGGCCUCAGACUCACAACAUGUGUGGAGCCGAUACUUACGUCACAUUCAACUAUAUCUCGUCACACUACACCUCUACCACAACUCGUAGACAAAAACCCAAUCACCCAAAAACCACAGAGAAUUCAAUUCUCCAUCUUCAUAAUCAUCAUGAUAAUACAGCAACGACCAAACUGUAGAAAUUCCUCCCAGAGAAUAACUUACAAGUCAAGAAUGAACCAGUCUGUUCCAACCAACAUACAGAUUUUACUGUACCCUAAAAAAUCCAGUUUUAUCUGUGUAAAGCAAUGGAUUUAUAGACAAUGACUGUACCAGAAAUUUAUCUGAACCCUCCUCCAUUCUUCAAAAAGAAUUCCCUGCCUUGGCCAUCAAAAGACUGAUGUUUUGAAAAAAAACAGACUUAUCAGUCACUCAAAUAAACUUAGCUGAAAUAAGUAAACCUGCCCCAGGAAUGCUCAAUGGUAAUUCAACUAGACAUGAUUUAAAGAAAUAAAUUUUGGUUGCCGAAUCAUCCUCCUUGGGUUGAUUAUAUAAAAACUGUCUAUGAAAUAUCCCUGAUAAUUAAACCCUAUAUUUAAGCCAACAUUUAUUUUUUUUUUUUUUGGACGAAUUGACAUUAAAUUAUCUAAAAUGAAAAAUGUCAGUUCAAACUCUAUAAUAAAUAGAAAUUGUGAGCUCUGAAACAAUCUCGACCUUUAAAAAGAUAAAACUAUCUACUGUGAAAAAAAUAAAAUUUCCCUAAAUAGUCGAAUACCGGUAUAUGAACAGUUUUAUAAUAAGAUGGAAAAAUAAAUAUUGAGGGGAGAAUUAGGGUUAAGUCGAGGUCAAGUCGUGGCCAGUCGGUCAGUGGUCAAGGUCGAAGGUCAAGAUUGUACCAGAGCUUUCAUUUUCCACUUGAAACAGUAUUGGAGUUUGAAGACUUGAAACUGCAAUUUAGCUACAAAUAAAAUCCUGCUCUAGUUAAUCAAUCACAUUGUAGGCCUAAUGAUGCCAAACCUC
rnacentral:lncRNA from 1 species